rnacentral:rRNA from 1 species
UACAGAGGUCUCGAGCGUUGUCCGGAUUGACUGGGCGUAAAGCGCACGCAGGCGGUUGCGCGCGUGGGGUGUGAAAUCUGGCCGCUUAACGGCCAGGCGCCAUCCCAUACGGCGCGACUGGAGUGAUGCAGAGGUCGAUGGAAUUGCCGGUGUAGUGGUGAAAUGCGUAGAGAUCGGCAGGAACACCCAGGGGGAAACCAGCCGACUGGGCAUCUGCUGACGCUGAGGUGCGAGAGCGUGGGGAGCGAACCGG